ensembl:lncRNA
GGGAGGAAUUAUCGUCACAGUGGUUGUUGGAGCCGGGGUUGUGGUUGUUGGAGCCAGGGUUGUGGUUGUUGGAGCUGUUGUUUUUGUUGUUGGAACUGGGGUUGUGUUUGUUGGACCCGGGGUUGUGGUUGUCGGAACUAAUGUUGUGGUUUUUAGAGCUGCAGCUGUGGUUUUUGGAGCCGCUGUUGUGGUUGUUGGAACCAAUGUUAUGGUUGUUGAAGCUGCUGUUGUGGUUUUUGGAGCCGCUAUUGUAGUUGUUUGAGCCGCGGUUGUUGUUGUUGGUGCAGUAGUUGUUGUUGGUGCAGCAGUUUUCGUUGUUGGUGCAGCAGUUUUCGUUGUUGGUGCAGCAGUUGUUGUCGUUGGUGCAGCAGCUGUUGUCGUUGGUGCAGCAGUUGUCGUUGUUUGUGCAGAAGUUGUUGUCGUUGGUGCAGCAGUUGCCGUUGUUGGUGCAGCAAUUGUCGUUGUUGGUACAGCAGUUGUUGUUGUAGGUGCAGCAGUUGUGGUUGAUGCAGUAGUUGUUGUUUGUGCAGUAGUUGUUGUUGGUGCAGAAGUUGUUGUUGUUGGUGCAGCAGUUGUGGUUGAUGCAGUAGUUGUUGUUUGUGCAGUAGUUGUUGUUGGUGCAGCUGUUGUUGUUGUUGGUGCUACAAAUGUCGUUGUUGGUGCAGCAGUUGUCGUUGUUGGUGCAGCAGUUGUUGUCGUUGGUGCAGCAGUUGUUGUUGUUGGUGCUACAAAUGUCGUUGUUGGUGCAGCAGUUGUCGUUGUUGGUGCAGCAGUUGUCGUUGUUGGUGCAGCAGUUGUUGUCGUUGGUGCAGCAGUUGUCGUAGUUAGUGAAGCAGUUGUUGGUGCAGCAGUUGUCGUUUGUGCAGCAGUUGUCGUUGGUGCAGCAGUUGUCGUGGUUGGUGCAGCAGUUGUCGUUUGUGCAGCAGUUGUCGGUGAUCCAGCAGUUGUCGGUGUUGUUGCCACUGUUAUGGUUGUUGGAGCCGCUGUUAUGGUUGUUGGUGCCACUGUUGAAGUUGUUGGAGCUGCUGUUGUGGUAGUUGGAACUGUUGUGGUAGUUGGAACUGCUGUUGUGGUUGUUGGAGCAGCUGUUGUGGUUGUCGGAGCUGCUGUUGUGGUUGGUUGAUCCGGGCCUGUGGUUGUUGGAGCCGCUGUUGUGGUUGAUGGAGCUGCUGUUGUGGUUGGUGGACCCAGGCCUGUUGUUGUUGGAGCUGCAGUUGUCGUUUGUGCAGCAGAUGUCGUUGGUGCAAUAGUUGUCACAAUUGGUGCAGCAGUUAUUGUCGUUGGUGCUGCAGUUGUCGUUGUUGAUGCAGCAGUUGUUGUUGUAGGUGCAACAGUUGUCGUUGUAGGUGCAGCAGUUGUGGUUGAUGCAGUAGUUGUUGUUGUUAGUGCAGUAGUUGUUGUUGUUGUUCCUGCAGCAGUUGUCGUUGUUGGUGCAGCAGUUAUUGUAGUUGGUGCAGCAGUUGUCGUUGUUAGUGAAGCAGUUGUUGGUGCAGCAGUUGUCAUUGGUGUAGCAGUGGUUGGUGUUGGUACAGCAGUUGUCGUUAUUGGUGCGACAGUUGUCAAUGUUGGUACAGCAGUUAUUGUCGCUGUUGGUGCAGCAGUUGUCGUUGUUGGUGCAGCAGUUGUCGUUUGUGCAGCAGUUGUUGUUUGUGCAGCAUUUGUCGUUGUUGGUACAGCAGUUGUCGUUUGUGCAGCAGUUGUCGUUUUUGCAGCAGUUGUCGUUGUUGGUGCAGCAGUUGUCGUUUGUGCAGCAGUUGUCGUUGGUGCAACAGUUGUCAAUGUUGGUGCAGCAAUUAUUGUUGUUGAUGCAGCAAUUAUCGUUGCUGGUGCAGGAAUUGUUGUUGUUGGUACAGCAGUUGUUGUUGUAGGUGCAACAGUUGUCGUUGUUAGUGAAGCAGUUGUUGGUGCAGCAGUUGUUGUUGGUGGAGCAGUUAUUGUCGUUGGUGCUGCAGUUGUCGUUGUUGAUGCAGCAAUUGUCGUUGUUGGUGCAGCAAUUGUCGUUGUUGGUGCAGAAAUUGUCGUUGGUGCAGCAGUUGUCGUUGUUGGUGCAGCAAUUGUCAUUUGUGCAGCAGUUGACGUUCGUGCAACAGUUGUCAAUGUUGGUGCAGCAGUUAUUGUCGUUGGUGAUGCAGUUGUCGUUGUUGAUGCAGCAAUUGUCGUUGUUGGUGCAGCAGUUGUCUUUUGUGCAGCAGUUGUCGUUGGUCCAGCAGUUGUCAGUGUUGGUGCCGUGGUUGUGGUUGUUGGAGCCGCUGUUAUGGUUGUUGGAGCCACUGUUGAAGUUGUUUGAGCUGCUGUUGUGGUUGUUGGAGCAGCUGUUGUGGUUGUUGGAGCUGCUGUGGUGGUUGUUGGAAGUGCUGUUGUGGUUGUUGGAGCCGCUGUUGUGGUUGUUGGAGCUGCUGUGGUGGUUGGUGGACCCAGGCCUGUUGUUGUUGGAGCUGCAGUUGUGGUUGGUGGAGGUGCUGUUGUUGUAGUUGGAACUGGAGUUGUGGUACUUGGAGCUGCUGUUGUGGUAGUUGGACCCACGGUUGUCGUUGUUGGUGCAGCAGUUGUCGUUAGUGCAGCAGUUGUCGUUGUUGGUGCAGCAGUUGUCGUUUGUGCAGCAGUUGUCAAUGUUGGUGCAGCAGUUAUUGUCGUUGAUGCUGCAGUUGUCAUUGUUGAUGCAGCAAUUGUUGGUGCAGCAGUUGUCGUUUGUGCAGCAGUUGUCGUUGGUGCAGCAGCUGUCAUGGUUGGUGCAGCAGUUAUCGUUUGUGCAGCAGUUGUCGGUGAUCCAGUAGUUGUCGGUGUUGUUGCCGCUGUUAUGGUUGUUGGAGCCGCUGUUAUGGUUGUUGGUGCCACUGUUGAAGUUGUUGGAGCUGCUGUUGUGGUAGUUGGAACUGUUGUGGUAGUUGGAACUGCUGUUGUGGUUGUUGGAGCAGCUGUUGUGGUUGUUGGAGCUGCUGUUGUGGUUGGUUGAUCCGGGCCUGUGGUUGUUGGAGCCACUGUUGUGGUUGUUGGAGCUGCUGUUGUGGUUGGUGGACCCAGGCCUGUUGUUGUUGGAGCUGCAGUUGUCGUUUGUGCAGCAGAUGUCGUUGGUGCAACAGUUGUCAAUGUUGGUGCAGCAGUUAUUGUCGUUGGUGCUGCAGUUGUCGUUGUUGAUGCAGCAGUUGUUGUUGUAGGUGCAACAGUUGUCGUUGUAGGUGCAGCAGUUGUGGUUGAUGCAGUAGUUGUUGUUGUUAGUGCAGUAGUUGUUGUUGUUGUUCCUGCAGCAGUUGUCGUUGUUGGUGCAGCAGUUGUUGUAGUUGGUGCAGCAGUUGUCGUUGUUAGUGAAGCAGUUGUUGGUGCAGCAGUUGUCAUUGGUGUAGCAGUGGUUGGUGUUGGUACAGCAGUUGUCGUUAUUGGUGCGACAGUUGUCAAUGUUGGUGCAGCAGUUAUUGUCGCUGUUGGUGCAGCAGUUGUCGUUGUUGGUGCAGCAGUUGUCGUUUGUGCAGCAGUUGUUGUUUGUGCAGCAUUUGUCGUUGUUGGUACAGCAGUUGUCGUUUGUGCAGCAGUUGUCGUUUUUGCAGCAGUUGUCGUUGUUGGUGCAGCAGUUGUCGUUUGUGCAGCAGUUGUCGUUGGUGCAACAGUUGUCAAUGUUGGUGCAGCAGUUAUUGUUGUUGAUGCAGCAAUUAUCGUUGCUGGUGCAGGAAUUGUCGUUGUUGGUACAGCAGUUGUUGUAGGUGCAACAGUUGUCGUUGUUAGUGAAGCAGUUGUUGGUGCAGCAGUUGUUGUUGGUUUAGCAGUUAUUGUCGUUGGUGCUGCAGUUGUCGUUGUUGAUGCAGCAAUUGUCGUUGGUGCAGCAGUUGUCGUUGUUGGUGCAGCAGUUGUCAUUUGUGCAGCAGUUGACGUUGGUGCAACAGAUGUCAAUGUUGGUGCAGCUGUUAUUGUCGUUGGUGAUGCAGUUGUUGAUGCAGCAAUUGUCGUUGUUGGUGCAGCAGUUGUCGUUUGUGCAGCAGUUGUCGUUGGUCCAGCAGUUGUCAGUGUUGGUGCCGUGGUUGUGGUUGUUGGAGCCGCUGUUAUGGUUGUUGGUGCCACUGUUGAAGUUGUUGGAGCUGCUGUUGUGGUUGUUGGAGCAGCUGUUGUGGUUGUUGGAGCAGCUGUUGUGGUUGUUGGAGCUGCUGUGGUGGUUGUUGGAAGUGCUGUUGUGGUUGUUGGAGCCGCUGUUGUGGUUGUUGGAGCUGCUGUGGUGGUUGGUGGACCCAGGCCUGUUGUUGUUGGAGCUGCAGUUGUGGUUGGUGGAGGUGCUGUUGUUGUAGUUGGAACUGGAGUUGUGGUACUUGGAGCUGCUGUUGUGGUUGUUGGACCCACGGUUGUCCUUGUUGGUGCAGCAGUUGUUGUUAGUGCAGCAGUUGUCGUUGUUGGUGCAGCAGUUGUCGUUUGUGCAGCAGUUGUCAAUGUUGGUGCAG